UUAAUCAGUCCCGCACAAAGUUCCAUGCCGACUAAGUCAUGUGUGCUACAAGUGUAAAUAACACUCUGGAACAUCUUUAAAGAUGUCUCUGUAUAUGCCGCCUGCAUGCUGAAAAACUGCACAUACAGAUUGCAUUUAAGUCAAGUGAGUCACAUGUAAAUAGAAAUAACCAGUUCUGAAAUUCUAAGAAAUUCUACAGCACUGAACAAUAUCUAGACCAGGGGUAGGCAACGUUUUAGCAGUACUGUGCCGAUAUAGGAUUGUGAUGUCCUGUAGCGUGCAGAUCCUAUUUUUUUUAAAUUGAGGUGUGCAUGUUGCCGUAUUCUGCUUGUGUUAUUUUUACUGUAAUUGCUUUGUAUCGUUGUAUUUGUGCGUAUAUGAGCUAUUAUAGUGUGUGUUCAUUAAUAGUUUAUGGUAUUGUGUAUGAUACAUAUGGAUGUGGGCUGUGUAUGAGGGCUGCUUGUGGAAUUGUGUGUGGAUGGAUAUGUCACAUUGUGUGUUUGGUAGUGUGUGUAUGUGUGGGGCUGUUUGGGGUAUUGCAUGUGAGAGGCUGCAUGUGUGGUUGUGUGCAUGUAUGUGGAUUGUUAGUGGUGUUGUGUUUGUGGGGAUUGUGUGUAUGUUUGUGUGUGGGCUGUUAUUGUUAUUAUGCAUUUCUGUGUAUAUCUAGCAGUGUGGGUGGCUUCCCUGGGUUCCAGUGGGGACCAGGCUGGCCAGGUACAGGUCAAGGACAGGAGCUGCAACAGCAGCUGCGCGUUCUACUACAGUUUGGAUUCCUAUUCACAAUUGCCGGGAGGAAGUGAUCUGAGAUCACU